AGUUGCUUCUUUGUGACGAGUGGCGCACGGGUGCGUAACGCGUAUAGAACCUACCCUGUACAGGGGGAUAGCCCAUGGAAACGUGGAUUAAUACCCCGUGGUGAUAUAGAUUGGCAUCGAUUUAUAUUUAAAGUCUUCGGGCGGUACGGGAUGGCUAUGCGUCUUAUUAGUUAGUAGGUGAGGUAACGGCUCACCUAGGCAGCGAUAAGUAGGGGCCCUGAGAGGGGGAUCCCCCACACUGGUACUGAGACACGGACCAGACUCCUACGGGAGGCAGCAGUGAGGAAUAUUGGACAAUGGGCGGAAGCCUGAUCCAGCCAUGCCGCGUGCAGGAAGACGGCCCUACGGGUUGUAAACUGCUUUUAUACAGGAAGAAUAAUCACCACGUGUGGUGAGAUGACGGUACUGUAAGAAUAAGGACCGGCUAACUCCGUGCCAGCAGCCGCGGUAAUACGGAGGGUCCGAGCGUUAUCCGGAAUCAUUGGGUUUAAAGGGUCCGCAGGCGGGCAAUUAAGUCAGGGGUGAAAUGCUGUGGCUCAACCAUAGCACUGCCUUUGAUACUGGUUGUCUUGAGUUGUGGUGAAGUGGCCGGAAUAUGUAGUGUAGCGGUGAAAUGCAUAGAUAUUACAUAGAACACCGAUCGCGAAGGCAGGUCACUAACCACUAACUGACGCUGAUGGACGAAAGCGUGGGGAGCGAACGGGAUUAGAUACCCCGGUAGUCCACGCUGUAAACGAUGGAUACUAGCUGUCGGGUUUUCGGACUCGGUGGCCAAGCGAAAGUGAUAAGUAUCCCACCUGGGGAGUACGUUCGCAAGAAUGAAACU
rnacentral:rRNA from 1 species